CUGUAAAGGGGGGGGGAAGAGCUCUGCCACUGUAAUAUGAUCUUCUAGAAGAGGAGAGAAGAAUCUGCCCCAGGAGAAUAAACGUGAAACUUGGUCUGGACCUGGCACUUUCAGGAGACUUGUGGUCAGGACCUCCAGUACUAUGAGGAAUAAAAGUGGGGAGAAUGGAAUCCUUGUCUUGUUCCUGAUCUUACAAGAAAAGCUUUCAGCUUUUCACCAUUGAAUAUGAUAGCUGUGGGCUUGUCAUACAUGACUUUUAUUAUAUUGAGGGCAUUUGGAAAUGUCCAUCUCUCACCUACGAUUCUGGGAACCAAGGGCAGCUCGAAGGUGCCCACCCAGUUCUGAACCCAGAGCCUAAAUAUGAAUUCUGACUUCAUCACUUACCAGCUGUGUGACCGUGAGCAGGGGCAUCCCUCUUGGUAGGUCAGAAGAACAGAAGAGGAAGAAUUUGGGAUUCUGAAGACUGCAGAGAAGAGAGGACAUACCAGCCUAGAAUUUCAUGUAGAAGAAAAUUAUUUCUGUUGCUUGCUUAUUAUUCUUAAAGAAUAGUCCAGGAAUUCCUGCUGGGGCACAAUGAAGUCAGUGGUGUCUCUGCAGUGCUGGGACACAAGACUGAUCUCUUGCCCCUGCACAGUGGGUUAAGGA